rnacentral:piRNA from 1 species
GGAAACUAAUGCCUCAUUUCGCUUUC